AGCGAACGCUGGCGGCAGGCUUAACACAUGCAAGUCGAACGGGCGUAGCAAUACGUCAGUGGCAGACGGGUGAGUAACGCGUGGGAACGUACCUUUUGGUUCGGAACAACACAGGGAAACUUGUGCUAAUACCGGAUAAGCCCUUACGGGGAAAGAUUUAUCGCCGAAAGAUCGGCCCGCGUCUGAUUAGCUAGUUGGUGAGGUAAUGGCUCACCAAGGCGACGAUCAGUAGCUGGUCUGAGAGGAUGAUCAGCCACACUGGGACUGAGACACGGCCCAGACUCCUACGGGAGGCAGCAGUGGGGAAUAUUGGUCAAUGGAGGGAACUCUGAACCAGCCAUGCCGCGUGAAGGAUGACGGCCCUCUGGGUUGUAAACUUCUUUUGGAUGGGGCGAAAAAACGGGAGUUUAUCCUGGACUGACGGUACCAUCAGAAUAAGACACCGGCUAACUACGUGCCAGCAGCCGCGGUAAAGUAGUGACUGU
rnacentral:rRNA from 1 species